rnacentral:lncRNA from 1 species
GCUUGGUAAAGGUUUGGUAUCUUCUCAUCCCAAAAGGGAGUCCUUCUGUUAAGGUAUCAGAUGCUUCCCCUUGCCCAUUGUCCUGCCCAGGGAGAGAAAUUCAAUCAGCCAGGACUUUACAGAUCUAUCCUCUUCCUCCAGGACAGAGGAGGGAAGGCCCGACACCUGACACUUGGAGAGCUUAAGCCUCAGAAUAAAAAAUUGCCAUGAAUUUGAAUGAAGAUAAGAGAAGAGGACAGUGAGAGAUGUUCCAAUAUGGCAACACGAUGUUCCACGAUAAAACUGACACAAAAAACAAUGCAAAAUUUGUCUAAGAGAGGUUUAGCAAGCAUGAGAAAAACAUCUGAUAUCUCUCAGAGCCCGCCAAGUUCGCAGCUUACAGUGCCAGAGUAAUUAUGGGAUGAUUUGAACAGAGGCAAUGCAUGAGGAAGCCACUUCCAAAUGUAUCAGGUAGGUUUCCAGAAGAGGCAAAACAUUCGGCUCUCUUAUUCCUCUGGCGCUCUGA